rnacentral:rRNA from 1 species
GGCGGCGUGGAUUAGGCAUGCAAGUCGAACGGUAUCAGUCCUUUCGGGGGUGAGAGAGUGGCGCACGGGUGAGUAACGCGUGGAUAAUCUGCCCUUAAGUGUGGAAUAACGUACCGAAAGGUGCGCUAAUACCGCAUAAUGCCUGGCAACACAAGUUGUCCGGCCAAAGAAGGCCUCUGUUUACAAGCUUUCGCUUCAGGAUGAGUCCGCGUACCAUUAGCUUGUUGGUGGGGUAAUGGCCUACCAAGGCUGCGAUGGUUAGCUGGUCUGAGAGGAUGAUCAGCCACACUGGAACUGAGACACGGUCCAGACUCCUACGGGAGGCAGCAGUGAGGAAUAUUGCGCAAUGGGGGCAACCCUGACGCAGCAACGCCGCGUGAGUGAGGAAGGUUUUCGGACUGUAAAGCUCUGUCGAGCGGGAAGAAGUGUACCAUGGCUAAUAUCCAUGAUAUUUGACGGUACCGCUAGAGGAAGCACCGGCUAACUCCGUG